rnacentral:rRNA from 1 species
CAAUGGGGGCAACCCUGAUCCAGCCAUGCCGCGUGAGUGAUGACGGCCUUAGGGUUGUAAAGCUCUUUCGCACGCGACGAUAAUGACGGUAGCGUGAGAAGAAGCCCCGGCUAACUUCGUGCCAGCAGCCGCGGUAAUACGAAGGGGGCUAGCGUUGUUCGGAAUCACUGGGCGUAAAGGGUGCGUAGGCGGAUUCUUAAGUCAGGGGUGAAAUCCCGAGGCUCAACCUCGGAACUGCCUUUGAUACUGGGGAUCUUGAGUCCGGAAGAGGUGAGUGGAACUGCGAGUGUAGAGGUGAAAUUCGUAGAUAUUCGG